rnacentral:rRNA from 1 species
UACGGAGGGGGCUAGCGUUGUUCGGAAUUACUGGGCGUAAAGCGCACGUAGGCGGAUUGGAAAGUCAGAGGUGAAAUCCCAGGGCUCAACCUUGGAACUGCCUUUGAAACUCCCAGUCUUGAGUUCGAGAGAGGUGAGUGGAAUUCCGAGUGUAGAGGUGAAAUUCGUAGAUAUUCGGAGGAACACCAGUGGCGAAGGCGGCUCACUGGCCCGAUACUGACGCUGAGGCGCGAAAGCGUGGGGAGCAAACAGG